GACCACUCCGGUGACCUAGUGGUUAGAGUGUACGCCUCGAAAGCUUGAGAUUGUGGGUUCGAUCUCCGAUCGAGUCA